UGCCUAACACAUGCAAGUCGUGCGAGAACGGGGGGCAACUCCCUAGUACAGCGGCGCACGGGUGAGUAACACGUAGGUAACCUACCCCCGAGUUCGGGAUAACCUACCGAAAGGUGGGCUAAUACCGGUUAUGACCACGGCGGUUUCGGCCGCUGCGGUGAAAGGUGGCCUCUACUUGUAAGCUACCGCUCGAGGAUGGGCCUGCGCGCCAUUAGCUUGUUGGCGGGGUAACGGCCCACCAAGGCGAUGAUGGCUAGCUGGUCUGAGAGGAUGGCCAGCCACACUGGAACUGACACACGGUCCAGACUCCUACGGGAGGCAGCAGUGGGGGAUAUUGCGCAAUGGGCCAAAGCCUGACGCAGCGACGCCGCGUGGGUGAUGAAGGCCUUCGGGUCGUAAAGCCC
rnacentral:rRNA from 1 species